rnacentral:sRNA from 1 species
CUUCAUCGAUUUGCUGCGGGCAAAUAAAAUGAAUAUGAGCAUCGAUCCCUCCUGCGGUGAGAAUCUGCCCCUCUCCAGCGAUAAUCUCGGUAGACGCUCCAAUAUUCAUAUCUACGGGACCCUGGAUAUCUGAAUUGCCAGCCUUGCCAAUAGCCGCAAUAUUCCCAUCCUUAAUCCCAAUGUCGGCUUUUACUAUGCCCCAGUGGUCAAUGAUGAGGGCAUUGGUGAUCACCGUGUCCAUACAAUCUUUUGCCAAUGCUUGGCCCUGCCCCAUACCAUCACG